rnacentral:rRNA from 1 species
AUUGAACGCUGGCGGCAUGCCUUACACAUGCAAGUCGAACGGCAGCACGGGGGCAACCCUGGUGGCGAGUGGCGAACGGGUGAGUAAUGCAUCGGAACGUGCCAUUGAGUGGGGGAUAACGUAGCGAAAGUUGCGCUAAUACCGCAUAUUCUGUGAGCAGGAAAGCAGGGGACCGCAAGGCCUUGCGCUAUUUGAGCGGCCGAUGUCAGAUUAGCUAGUUGGUGAGGUAACGGCUUACCAAGGCGACGAUCCGUAGCUGGUCUGAGAGGACGACCAGCCACACUGGAACUGAGACACGGUCCAGACUCCUACGGGAGGCAGCAGUGGGGAAUUUUGGACAAUGGGCGCAAGCCUGAUCCAGCCAUGCCGCGUGAGUGAAGAAGGCCU